AUUGAACGCUGGCGGCAUGCCUUACACAUGCAAGUCGAACGGCAGCACGGGAGCAAUCCUGGUGGCGAGUGGCGAACGGGUGAGUAAAGUAUCGGAACGUGCCCAGUCGUGGGGGAUAACGUAGCGAAAGUUACGCUAAUACCGCAUACGAUCUAUGGAUGAAAGCGGGGGAUCGCAAGACCUCGCGCGAUUGGAGCGGCCGAUAUCAGAUUAGGUAGUUGGUGGGGUGAAGGCUCACCAAGCCGACGAUCUGUAGCUGGUCUGAGAGGACGACCAGCCACACUGGGACUGAGACACGGCCCAGACUCCUACGGGGGGCAGCAGUGGGGAAUUUUGGACAAUGGGCGAAAGCCUGAUCCAGCCAUGCCGCGUGCAGGAUGAAGGCCUUCGGGUUGUAAACUGCUUUUGUACGGAACGAAAAGGUUUGGCCUAAUAAGCUGAGCUCAUGACGGUACCGUAAGAAUAAGCACCGGCUAACUACGUGCCAGCCGCCGCAGUAA
rnacentral:rRNA from 1 species